GAUGAACGCUGGCGGCGCGCCUAACACAUGCAAGUCGAACGAUUAAAGCACCUUCGGGUGUGUAUAAAGUGGCGAACGGCUGAGUAACACGUGGGCAACCUGCCCCUUUCAUUGGGAUAGCCACGGGAAACCGUGGAUAAUACCGAAUACUUCGAGACUUCCGCAUGGAAGACUCGAGAAAGCUCCGGCGGAGAGGGAUGGGCCCGCGGCCUGUUAGCUUGUUGGUGGGGUAACGGCCUACCAAGGCAAUGAUGGGUAGCUGGGUUGAGAGACCGACCAGCCAGAUUGGGACUGAGACACGGCCCAGACUCCUACGGGAGGCAGCAGUGGGGAAUCUUGCACAAUGGGCGAAAGCCGGAUGCAGCGACGCCGCGUGCGGGAUGAAGGCCUUCGGGUUGUAAACCGCUUUCAGCAGGGACGAGGCGAAAGUGACGGUACCUGCAGAAGAAGCCCCGGCUAACUACGU
rnacentral:rRNA from 1 species